CUGUUCUUUUUUGGUCAAAAACGGCUAUGGAUUCCUACAGGGCACUUCGGGAGCUGUGACUGUGUAGCGGAUGACUACUGGAAAGCUUGUAAGCUGGUGCUUCCGGUGGCUGCUGUUGCUGAUAUUGUUUCGGGUAUCUGUUUUCAAAGCCUUUUUGCAAAAAUUCUAUUGGGACACGGGGGAAAAAAGGCCAAAUGACGUAGAUCCAAGGCUUCGCCAAGGAACCAAAGUGAAAUCGCCUUCUGGAAAGCUGGAAUUGAUGAUGGAAACUAGCCAACGUUG
rnacentral:sRNA from 1 species